rnacentral:lncRNA from 1 species
CUAUCUUAGCAUAAAACUAAAGUCUAGGUAAGAGAAAGACAUGAUAUAAAGUUGAGCUACUAUUUAUCUUGUUCCUACUACACUAAGUUCUAGAGAUUUAUUUUGAAAACUUACAAGUCACAUGAUGAGUUCCUAGCAUACAAAACUACCUACCACAGCCAUACUUGCUAUAACAUCUUUUACUAUAUUUACAUUGAGUUUGAUCGAGCUGUGUAGACCCUUAGGAGCUUUUCAUGUGGUUAAAUUAAGAUAUUCACUUGCACACAUCUACUACACUAUCCAUCAUCAUUCAUUAAAAUUGCUAAAAAUAUUAUCACUAACUGUCCCGAAUAUUGUUAUUCUCUCUCUCUAAAAAGAUUCAAUGCAAAAGAGGCAUGGGUUAUGCAAAAAUAUACGAGGAAAUAAAAAGGGGCAAGUGUCCGGAACCUCGAAAAAGAAAGAAAAAGAGUGAGACGAGAGGUAAAAAUGGACAAGUGUCCGAAGUAGAAUUAGGGGUACAAAGAUGCCCACUUGAGCAGAAAAAAUGGACAAGUGUCCGACAGUAGAAUUAGGGGUAUCUACUACCCACCUGAAAAAAAA